rnacentral:rRNA from 1 species
UACGUAGGGUGCGAGCGUUGUCCGGAAUUACUGGGCGUAAAGAGCUCGUAGGUGGUUUGUCGCGUUGUUCGUGAAAACUCACAGCUUAACUGUGGGCGUGCGGGCGAUACGGGCAGACUGGAGUACUGCAGGGGAGACUGGAAUUCCUGGUGUAGCGGUGGAAUGCGCAGAUAUCAGGAGGAACACCGGUGGCGAAGGCGGGUCUCUGGACAGUAACUGACGCUGAGGAGCGAAAGCGUGGGGAGCGAACAGG